rnacentral:tRNA from 1 species
UAAGGUGUGGUACAAUGGAAUGAACACUGGCUUUGAAAUCAGAGAAUGUGGAUUCAAAUUCUAUCUCUUUUU